UCCUCCUGAAGCAGGAUGCUAUAGACCUCAGCAGUGUGGAAUGGUUGGUGGUGGAUGAGAGCGAUAAGCUGUUUGAGGAUGGUCGUAGUGGCUUCAGAGAGCAGCCAGCAGCAGUGUUCCAGGCGUGUUCCCUCCGCGGGUCAGACGAGCGCUCUACAGUGCUACCUGUGCUCCAGACGUGGAACAGUGGUGUCGCCUCAACCUCGACAACCUGGUCUCUGUCAACAUUGGACACAGGAACUCUGCAGUAGAGACAGUAGAACAGGAGCUGCUGUUUGUUGGAACGGAGAACGGGAAGUUACUGGCCGUGAGGGACAUCAUCA